AUAGCCGCAGUACCCUGACUGUGCAAAGGUAGCAUAAUCAGUUGGCUUAUAAUUGAAGUCUAGUAUGAACGAAAGGAUGGGAGUAAGCUAUCUAAGAAUUGUAUCAAUAAAUUACUUAAUAAGUGAAAAUUCUUAUAUAGAUAUAAUAGACGAGAAGACCCUAGAAAUUUUAAGUAAUAUUUAGCUAUUGGUUUUUGUUGGGGCGACACAGUAGCACUAUAAACCUACUAAGAAGGAUAUGAUUAUCUUAAUAUGUAUAAUUAAAUUACUCUAGGGAUAACAGCAUAAUAUUGUAAAGUUUGUGACCUCGAUGUUGGACUAGGAAAGUAUAACUCAGAAGGUUAUUAUGUAGGCUCUGUUCG
rnacentral:rRNA from 1 species